AUUGAACGCUGGCGGCAGGCCUAACACAUGCAAGUCGAACGGUAACAGGAAGAAGCUUGCUUCUUUGCUGACGAGUGGCGGACGGGUGAGUAAUGUCUGGGAAACUGCCUGAUGGAGGGGGAUAACUACUGGAAACGGUAGCUAAUACCGCAUAACGUCGCAAGACCAAAGAGGGGGACCUUCGGGCCUCUUGCCAUCGGAUGUGCCCAGAUGGGAUUAGCUAGUAGGUGGGGUAACGGCUCACCUAGGCGACGAUCCCUAGCUGGUCUGAGAGGAUGACCAGAGAAAAGGGAAAGGAGGAAAGGGCGAGGCAAGCAAGAGAGGGAGGGGGGGGGAAGUAGGAAAAAGGGGGCGAAGGAGAAAGGAGGCAGGGGGCGGAGAAGAAGAAGACCUUUGGUUUGUAAAUUAAUUGCGGCGGGGAGGAAGGUAGGAAAGUUAAUACUUUUGCACAGUGACGGUACCCGCAGAAGAAGCACCGGCUGACUCCGU
rnacentral:rRNA from 1 species